rnacentral:lncRNA from 1 species
CUCAUGUUGUCCGGCUAUGUGGCAAGUUCCUCUAUCUGCUGAGCCGUCUGACUCAACCUGACGUUUAUACAUGUUACACAAAGCACCGACUCUUUGCAGAGCUUCCCAGAGAUGUGACAUCCCGCGUUCCAGACCAGGAGCUGUUUGUCCUGGGUAUAGUGUGCACCACAGAGAACAUGGGGCAAGAUGAAGAUUAAG